rnacentral:lncRNA from 1 species
GCCAGUUUACACUGCCUCUUAGCAGCCUAAAGCAAGGGUACCGCCACAUACACCUGCUUUCCAAGGACGGGGCCUCACUGUCACCAGCCACGCUCUUCAUCCAAAUCCGCAUCCAGCGCUCCUGAGGGCCCACCUCACUCGCCUUGGGGUUCUGCGAGUGCCAGUCCACAUCCCCUGCAGAGCCCUCUCCUCCUCUGGAGUCAGGUGGUGGGAGUACCAGCCCCCCAGCCCACCCACUUGGCCCACUCAGCCCAUUCACCAGGCGCUGGUCUCACCUGGGUGCUGAGGGCUGCCUGGGCCCCUCCUGAAGAACAGAAAGGUGUUCAUGUGACUUCAGUGAGCUCCAACCCUGGGGCCCUGAGAUGGCCCCAGCUCCUCUUGUCCUCAGCCCACCCCUCAUUGUGACUUAUGAGGAGCAAGCCUGUUGCUGCCAGGAGACUUGGGGAGCAGGACACUUGUGGGCCCUCAGUUCCCCUCUGUCCUCCCGUGGGCCAUCCCAGCCUCCUUCCCCCAGAGGAGCGCAGUCACUCCACUUGGCCCCGACCCCGAGCUUAGCCCCUAAGCCCUCCUUUACCCCAGGCCUUCCUGGACUCCUCCCUCCAGCUCCGGAACCUGAGCUCCCCUUCCCUUCUCAAAGCAAGAAGGGAGCGCUGAGGCAUGAAGCCCUGGGGAAACUGGCAGUAGGUUUUGGUUUUUAUUUUUUGAGACAGGGUCUCGCUCCGUCGCCCAGGCUGGAGUGCAAUGUUGCAAUCAUGGCUCACUGCAGCUUUGAACUCCCAGGCUCAAGCGAUCCUCCCAUCUCAGCCUCCUGAGUAGCUGGGACUACAGGCACAGGCCACCAAACCUGGCUAAUGUUUAAAUUUUAUGUAGAGAUGGCGGGGGGGGCGGGGGUCUCCCUAUGUUGCCCAGGCUGGUCUCGAGCUCCUGACCUCAAGUGAUCCUCCUGCCCCAGCAUUCCAAAGUGCUGGGAUUACAGGUGUGAGCCACUGCCUGGCCUGGCCGUAGGUUUGUAACUGUUUCAUAGAAGAGCCCUGGAGAAGACAGUAGAAUGAGCCUAUCUAGUUUAAAAAAUAAAGAAGCACGUUGAUU